UUUUAUUACAAAUAGUA
rnacentral:tRNA from 1 species